rnacentral:rRNA from 1 species
UCGAGAAUUUUUCUCAAUGGGGGAAACCCUGAAGGAGCGACGCCGCGUGGAGGAUGAAGGCUUUCGGGUUGUAAACUCCUGUCAUCUGGGAACAAAACUCGCAAGAGCUUGAUAGUACCAGAAGAGGAAGAGACGGCUAACUCUGUGCCAGCAGCCGCGGUAAUACAGAGGUCUCAAGCGUUGUUCGGAUUCAUUGGGCGUAAAGGGCGCGUAGGCGGUGGGGUAAGUCUGGUGUGAAAUCUCGGAGCUCAACUUCGAAAAUGCACUGGAUACUGCUCUGCUAGAGGGCUGGAGAGGAGAUCGGAAUUCACGGUGUAGCAGUGAAAUGCGUAGAUAUCGUGAGGAAGACCAGUGGCGAAGGCGGAUCUCUGGACAGCUCCUGACGCUGAGGCGCGAAGGCUAGGGGAGCAAACGGGAUUAGAUACCCCCGUAGUCC